UUCUUCGGAGAGUUUGAUCCUGGCUCAGGAUGAACGCUGGCGGCGUGCCUAAUACAUGCAAGUCGAGCGAACUGAUUAGAAGCUUGCUUCUAUGACGUUAGCGGCGGACGGGUGAGUAACACGUGGGCAACCUGCCUGUAAGACUGGGAUAACUUCGGGAAACCGAAGCUAAUACCGGAUAGGAUCUUCUCCUUCAUGGGAGAUGAUUGAAAGAUGGUUUCGGCUAUCA
rnacentral:rRNA from 1 species